GACGAACGCUGGCGGCGUGCCUAAUACAUGCAAGUCGAACGCAGUGGGGACGGGUGAGUAACACGUGGGUAACCUGCCAUCAGAGGGGAUACCACUUGGAAACAGGUGCUAAACCGAUACUGAUGGAUGGACCCGCGGUGGAUUAGCUAGUUGGUGAGGUAACGGCUCACCAAGGCCACGAUGCAUAGCAGGCCUGAGAGGAUGAUCGGCCACACUGGGACUGAGACACGGCCCAGACUCCUACGGGAGGCAGCAGUAGGGAAUAUUCGGCAAUGGGCGAAAGCCUGACCGAGCAAUGCCGCGUGAGUGAAGAAGGUUCUCGGUUCGUAAAGCUCUGUCAUUAGAGAAGCGGUAUCUAACCAGAAAGCCACGGCUAACUACGUGCCAGCAGCCGCGGUAAUUC
rnacentral:rRNA from 1 species